GAACUACUGAGGAGUCCCGCACUGGGGCGAAACGGCCGUCCAGUGC
rfam:Schistosoma mattheei strain Denwood, Zambia genome assembly, scaffold: SMTD_scaffold0000189